AUGCAGAGACGCUUGGGUGGUUCGAACCAUGUCCCAGGGCUACAGGUUGCAGUUCCGCCGUCGGCCCCCACCCCCUUCGGGGGUCAGGGUGACUUCGGUCACAGAUCCUGCACGGGUCAGCAUCCUGAUGCAGGAAAUAGAUGUUCUCCUGGACAAACGGGCCAUAGAGGUUGUUCCGCCGCAUUUGCAGGCAGACGGCUUUUAUUCGACGUAUUUCUUGGUGCCGAAGAAGGACGGGCCCCUGCGGCCGGUACUGGACCUCAGGGGUCUCAAUCGGUUCCUGAAGGUGCUGCCCUUCCGCGUGCUUCGGACUCGCAAUGUCCUUCAGGUGGUUUGGCCGGGAGAGUGGUUUACGACCAUAGAUCUCAAGGACGCAUACUUCCAUGUCCCGAUCCAUCCAGGGCACAGGAAGUACCUGCGGUUUUCUUUCCUCGGGAGGGUGUACCAGUUUCUGGUUCUGCCAUUCGGCCUGUCUCUCGCCCCCGAGUUUUCACGCGGUGCGUGAAGGCAGCCCUGAGCCCCCUGUGUCGGGCGGGGUUGAAGGUCCUGCCAUAUCUCGACGACUGUCUCGUCUGCGCGCCGUUGUGUCGCGAAGUGGGUCUGGCCAUGGCCAGGGUCCUUGCCCACGUCGAGGUGCUGGGGAUGACUGUGAACCUGCAGAAGAGUUCUCUGGUUCCGACUCAGCGGGUGGAUUUUAUUGGCAUUGCCAUAGAUUCUGUGGCCAUGCGGGCGAGGCUGACCGAGCAGAGGAGGGUCCGGAUUCGGUCUUUGCUCUGGGCCUUUCGCCUUGGGGCGGCACCCCCGGUCCAGGUGUGGCUACGACUGUUGGGGAUGCUGGUCUCGGCUUCUGCACUGGUGCCUCUCGGGCUGCUCCAACUUCGGCCCUUGCAGAGGUGGUUCAACGGCUUCCGCCUGGAUCCCCGGCGACACCGACGGGUCGAGCUGGAGGUCACGAGCAGCUGUGUGGCUCUUUUGCGUCGUUGGGACGAUGUCGCCUACCUGAGUCUCGGCGUCCCGCUUGGCGCGGUUCCCGCCAGGCGGGAGGUGGUCACGACGGAUGCGUCACCCCAGGGCUGGGGGGCGCAUUGGCAGUGCAGGUCGGUCCAGGGAUUGUGGAGCCCCCGUCAGGCACGGCUUCACAUCAGUGUCCUGGAAUUGAAGACCGUCUACUUGGCGCUGAGGUGCUUCUUGCCCUUUCUGCGGGGCAAGCACGUGCUCGUCCGAAUGGACGAUCACCUCGGCGGUGUUCCACGUAAACAAUCAGGGGGGCACCAGGUCAUUGUGAUCGUUGAGGGAGGCUCAGACGCUGCUGACCUGGGCUUACCCUCGCUUGGCCUCCGUCAGGGCGCUGCACAUUCCGGGGUGGAGGAACUCGGUGGCGGAUUGCCUUUCCUGGCGGGGUCUUCCCCCGGGAGAAUGUAG
rnacentral:lncRNA from 1 species